AAAAAAAGAAAACUUUUGACCUUUUUUUUUUCCUAAGGAACACACGCACAUAAAAAAAAUAACUCAAAAAAUAGUGGAAUUCGAGGCUUCAAAUUCGUGGUCUUUAUCGAGGUCUAGGUGGAUAUGAGAGGAGUCAUUGAAGUGAAUCUUGGAUAUUAGCAUUCAUUUAAGAAAAGUUGUGGGUAUGGCUACAAGAAGAAUGGUCGCAAGAAGGUUGGAAGAGGAAGGAUUGCAUGAGGGAGUUCCCCAAGGUGGAUUGGAUCCACAAGGAUUUCAACCUCCCCAAGGUGUCCAAGUUCCUCCACAAAGUGAUCAAUUGCCUAUUGAAGGUGAAAAUUUUGAGGUACCGGUGGUUCCCCGGAACAUGACUAAUAGGGAGAUUAGAUAGGCUCUAAUUUCUUUAGCCCGAUCCAUGACAACUCAUGUGGAUAGGGGUGUUGAGCCUAGGGUGAAUAUUAUAGAGGGUACUAUGACCUUUAGGGUUAGGGACUUUAUGAGUAUGAAUCCUCGUAUCUUUCUUCGCUCUAAGAUAGGAGAAGACCCCAAGAGUUUCUUGAUGGUGUGUACAAGGUGUUGAGUGUUAUGGGGUUGAAUUCUAGCGAGAAUAUGAAGUUGGAUUCAUACCAAUUGAGGUAAGUUGCUCAAGUGUGGUACACCUAAUGGAAAGACAAUAGGGCAGUUGACUUGGGUCCUAUAAAGUGGGAGGAGUUUAACGAGGCUCUUUUUGGAAAGUAUUUUCCUCGUGAGAGGAGAGAGGUGAAGGUUGAGGAGUUCAUUAACCUUAGUCAAGGGAACAUGAGUGUUAAGGAGUAUUUUUUGAAGUGUACCUUGUUGUCUAGGUUUGCUCCAUCUUGGUGUCUAACCCUAAGGAUGAGAUGAGUAAGUUUGUGAAGGGUGUUUCUGACCUUGCGAAAGAAGAGUGUCGUACAGCCAUGCUCCAAAAUGACGUGAACUUGUCUAGACUAUUGGUGUAUGCAUAAUCCAUUUAGGAGUCCAAAAUUAGUAAGAUUCAAGGAAUUUUAAGAGGGGUAUAUCCGAUGAGCGAAACCUAACAACGUUUAAGAAGAGGGCUCCAAACCAAGAUGUAUAUAGUGAUCCUAAGGUCAAGAUUGUGAGUGGUAGUAGUUCUCAAGGUGUUAAGCCUACUUGUGCUAGGUAUCUGGAGAAGCAUUUUGGGAAAUGUAUAGCCGGUACCGGUGGUUGCUUUGGUUGUGGUAAGGAUGGUCAUAAGGUGAGGGAUUUUCCUACUAUUGCAGCUAGAGGAAGGGAGGCCAAGUAAGUUCCUCCUAGUGCUCCGGAAGGUGAUGCUCCAAAGAGGAAUCACUUUUAUAUUCUUCAAGCUAAGGGAGCAAAUUUGGGUGAUGAUAUGGUAAGUUGUAGUCUUCUCUCUUGUGUAGUAAUGGGUUCCUUCUAAGUGGGGGAGUAUGGUGAGUAGUGGAGCUGUGAUUGUUGUCCCUUCUAUUCUAUUCAAUUUAAUAUUCAGA